rnacentral:lncRNA from 1 species
AAAUGUCUUGAUAAGCAGUUUUAACAGUUUGUUCACUAUGGACCCCUAAGGGGGAUCCUUUACAACUGAUGAAAUCUUUGAUAUGGUAGACGAUGGUGCGAAUUUUGGGUGUUACGCUCGCACCUAUUAUCAUUAAGUAACACCUUUUGAAAUUUUCAAUUAUUUUAACAAAAUCCGGCUGAAGAAUAAAUCCAAAGCAAUCUUUUACAACUAAGUUAAAACCUUUGAAUGCUUCAAUUGUGGAAAGAAUGUUUGGAACCGAGUUUGUAUUAGCAAGUUGCUGGAGCACAUCAAGGUUUUCAAGAAGCUUCCUGCAUUUUUAUUUAUUGAACUGGUCCCCAUAAUACGGACUCAGUUGAUUGUGGAUGGCAACUAGUCACUUAACAGCUUCUACCCAAGCAGUUUUAAGUAUCUUAAAAAAAUGAUUGACAACUUCUAUAAGGUGAUGUAAUUCCAUCGGUGGGAUUAUUUCCAAAAUCAGAACAUUGUCAUUUCCACUAAUGAUUGGCUUUCAAAUGGCAUUGCCAAACAAAUUUAAACGAGUAUCAACCCUGACAAAGUUUGGAAAAGAAUUGAAGUUAGAUAAUUGAGCCUAGUGUUCGCAAGUUUUUAGAUUUGGUAAGACACUUGAAUUUGAUAUCACACCAUGUAUAUGGAUGCAUUCUUGAAUGGGUUUGAAGACCUCAAAUUAAAUUUGCUACUUUCAUAUCGCAAGUCAAAAUUAUUUUAAUUCCAUUUGCAUUAAUCAGUGACCAGAUUUGUUCAAUAUUCAAUCUGACAAUCAGCUGAUCCCUUAUCAUUUGGACCAGUUUGAUGGAAAAGAAUCCUUAAAGCUUCUUAAAAAUCUUGAUGUGCUCCAGCAACUUGCUAAUACAAACGGUAAAGACAGGUUAGUUGAUACGCAAGGCUAGCUGAUACACACAAUUUCCAGGCUAACUAAAUCUUUUUAUAGGUGAAAAGCUGCCAUCUAUUGCUUGCUAAUGUAACAGGAACUCCCUCGUUUUAACCUCAUAAGGUAGAAAGCCAAAGUAUUUAUAAUAUUUAGAAAAAAGUGCUUUGCGUUAUCACAAGUGAAAUCUUCAAGACCAGGAUAAUUCCGAAUGUUUGUAAAAGAAAAACUACCACGGCAAUAAGAGCACCCCCUGAUGUAAUAGAAAGACCUGCAGAGAAUGUGAGAAAAGACAUUUUGUAGUGCAGCAGAGCAGUUUGGUAUCAAUAACUCAAUAAUAAACCCAAUAAAUGACUCUGUCUCAAUAUAUUAGGAAACGCCAAACUAAUCCUGAUGCAGUCACUAAUAUGCAGCUGUUGCAAUAAUGCCAGCAGCUUUUCUGAUGAAUCGAUCAUAGAAUAUGAUGGCAUCUCUGAUGAAGACAUAUUUUCUGAUGAGAUAAUUGAGGGUGAUUUCGUUAUUGUUAAAGACGUUGGAAAAGGAAGGGAAGUUUUGUUGCACGAGUUGUUGAACGAGUUGUUGCACGAGUUGUUGAACGAGUUGUUGCACGAGUUGUUGAACGAGUUGUUGCACGAGUUGUUGGAGAAGAAGAAUAUGGAGGAUUUCUGGAAACUUUCGGUUGAAUGCCAAGAUUAGAUUUUAGACCUACUUUGAUACCAAAUGGUAAUGACAAAGCAUCAUUCCCAGCAACUGAAAUUCUUUACAAGUUCCCACAACCAAAAGUUGUAAGUGACUCUUCACGGCGUUCUGCUCAAUUGAGAUUUAAUUGAAAUUUAAACAAAUGGAACAUUAGGUAACCUGAAAAAUGCUGCCUAUCUUAAAUAACUGAAUAUCAAAAUGAUUUAAUUCAAAUUUACUAUAAAACCUGCUAUUUUCAGCUUUUGUAAUAAUUGUUGUUUUUGCUUAAUUUCAUAUUGUAUUGCCUUUAUUUUAAUGGCUCUAAAUCUUAUGUUUUUUUAACUACUUUGUAUCAUUAUGUUAUAAUUAUUUUAUUUUAAUUUUCUUAAGAA